GAUGAAGAACGUAGCGAAAUGCGAUAAGUAGUGUGAAUUGCAGAAUUCAGUGAAUCAUCGAAUCUUUGAACGCACAUUGCGCCCCUUGGUAUUCCAUGGGGCAUGCCUGUUCGAGCGUCAUUUGUACCUUCAAGCUUUGCUUGGUGUUGGGUGUUUGUCCAUUCUCUUGCAGAGGGACUCGCCUUAAAGUAAUUGGCAGCCAGUGUUUUGGUUUUGAAGCGCAGCACAAGUCGCGAUUCAAAGCUAUACGCCCGCUUCCACAAGCCUUUUUCACUUUUGACCUCGGAUCAGGUAGGGAUACCCGCUGAACUUAAGCAUAUCAAUAAGCGGAUGA
rnacentral:misc_RNA from 1 species